rnacentral:tRNA from 1 species
AGAAAGAUAAGCUAAAUAAGCUAUUAGGUUCAUACCCUGAAUAUAGAAGUAAUAAUCUUCUUCUUUCUA